AUAGUUCCUUCUAACAACUUUGCA
rnacentral:snRNA from 1 species